rnacentral:lncRNA from 1 species
UUUAUUUUCUCAGUGGAUGAGGAAUGAUCAUUUUCCUUUAUUUUCUCAGUUACCCUGGAGCUGUACAAGUCACACACAGCUCCAUUGGAGAGAAAACUGGAUGGAACCAUUUGACUGAAAAUCCAUGUCAAAAGGCCAACAAGAAAGAGCUGAGACACUGCAGAAAGAGCAGGAAUAAAUAAGAGGUGAAGACAGACAGAGACCAGACAAGGAGGACUCAAUUACAGACUGACAGAAGACUCAAGGAAGAAAAUGAAGCCAAAGGUGUCUCCAGCCCCUUCAAGUUAUGCCUUUGGGAUGGACCAUAAAACCGCAUUACAAUUCUGGACCUGUGAAGAACUGUCGAAACAGCUGUAGAGGAAUUGUGGUGGAGGCAGUAAUGGCUCCUUUAGUAGCAGAGAAUAGAAAGAUCUCGAAAAUAAAGCCUAUUGUCAGGAGACUUGCACCCAUCCUGGCCUACUUCCAAGUGUAAGUGAGGUAACAUUUAAUUAGAGAAACAAAAACAGAAACGAAGAUAUCCAUGAUACCUAAUGUUACAAGGAGAAGAAAGCACUUGUAAUCACAAGGGUACUGAGAAAAGGUAACAGACACAUUUAUAUAUGUGGAACCAGGAAUCUUUCUGAUGACUUUCAGAAAGGGUGGACAUACAAAUAAAAAUCAACCUUCUUCUUGGUGAGGAUUUGACCCUGGUUCCAUAUUAACCCAAGAGCUGAUAAGCACAAACCUGGAGUCCAGUUUUUAUGCAAAUAUAACAACUCUGCUUAUACCUUGAAUUACUUGUAUGAAGCGGGGAAAAUUUUUUACUCUCUCUGAACCCAUAAUUAAAAAAAAUCUGUAUGACUUGGAAAGUUAAAUGAAAAAUGGAUUG